rnacentral:rRNA from 1 species
CCCUUAGAUGUUCUGGGCCGCACGCGCACUACACUGACGAAUGCAACGAGCUUAUAAUAACCUUGGCCGAAAGGUCUGGGUAAUCUCCAAAUUUCGUCGUGAUGGGGAUAGAUUAUUGCAAUUAUUAAUCUUCAACGAGGAAUGCCUAGUAAGCGCAAGUCAUCAGCUUGCGUUGAUUACGUCCCUGCCCUUUGUACACACCGCCCGUCGCUCCUACCGAUUGAAUGGUCCGGUGAAGCGUUCGGACCGUGGCCUUUGGACGGUUCGCCGUCUGUUGGCUGCGGGAAGUUCGUUAAACCUUAUCAUUUAGAGGAAGGAGAAGUCGUAACA